rnacentral:rRNA from 1 species
UACGUAGGUGACAAGCGUUAUCCGGAAUUACUGGGCGUAAAGCGCACGUAGGCGGCGCAUUAAGUCUGAUGUGAAAUCUCCCGGCUUAACUGGGAGGGGUCAUUGGAAACUGAUGUGCUCGAGGCGGUGAGAGGGGUGUAGAAUUCCCGGUGUAGUGGUGGAAUGCGUAGAUAUUGGGAGGAACACCAGUGGCGAAGGCGGCUCACUGGACCGGUACUGACGCUGAUGCGCGAAAGCGUGGGGAGCAAACGGG